AGGUGAUUUAUAAAAAGGAUGUUAUUUCCUACAGAGUAGGAAGCUGGAAGAUCCUUUUAGAUAUUAUUUACUCAUUAGACAGACCGAUAAAGAAACUAAAGCCCAGAGCAGGGCAGUAGCUGCUGGAGGGCCCAGAGCCACGUGGUAGGAGAGCUGGGAGAGAGGCCUGGGUACUGAGCGAGCUGCUGUGUUUGGGCUGCUCUGCACAUCCCCGUGUUUCUGUAUUCCUCCAUGCUCACGGAGUCUUCCUCAGACUUCAGUCUCCAGAUGUGCCAUAGUUUAAUUUGGGGGUCCUCAAGUCAAAAUUUCAAGAACUGAAGAAUACGGAUCAUGAGACCUGCUGAAUAACAUCGAAGGAACUUCUGAACACGCCACCAUUUAAGCGGAGAGGGUCCCUCCCUUCCGCUGCAAUCAGGCUAUUACAGGCUCGCUCUGCCUCUUACCCGCUGGGCGCAGGCCAAGCCCAGAGCCCGGAGCUCCUACUAUGACUUGGCCGAGCAGCAAGCUAUUCAUCCACACGUCCAAGGCCACUUUUGUGCGAACAGCUUCGCAUCACCUGCCCCUGGAGACUUCGGAUCACCCCUCUGCUCCCCCGCCCUCCCCUGCUCCAGCCCCUCUCUGGCUGUGCAGGAGCCAAAGGGGAUUUGUGAUAACAGAGUCACAGGCACAGGCCCAACCCAGGCCCGAGGAGCUUGACCUGAGGCAAGAGCAUAGCCCAGAACAACACACGCCACUCCCCAGCAAGGAGGGGUGGCCUGGCACUCAAAUCGAAAACUCCUGGGCUUUUGAUGGAAGCCAUAAAACAAAGGUAGUAUUCCAGAAGGAAUCUCAGAUCCUUGUUCAUACUGGAGCCCAAGUGACCAUCAAAACAAGAGGCUGCUUCUCCAUAGGCAGUUCCGAGGAUCAAGGUUCCUGUUAAUUCUGGAUUUGGAAAAACAUACCUGGGAAGGAGGCAGGCACUCCCACUGCAUUACCUCUGAGAAAGACACAGUAAGUAGAUUAACAGCAAACCAGGUCAGGCCGGGGGAGCCUUUAUAUGGCUAAGAAAUUAAACUCUUCGGCUUUCCAGCAAGUGAAUUAUUUGAAUGGUAGUAUGAAAUCCACAAGUUUUCUAUUUGUAAAAAUGGCUCAUGUAGGACCUUUUUUGGGCAUCUGAGGAGCACCCCUAGCAUGGGGGUGUAGAUACUAAAGCUACAGCUUUCCAAACAUAUUUGGGGCAAGGCUCUUUUCUCCUAGCUUCAAGUUUUCCAUCUUUAAAUGAAUACUUUAGAUUUCUUGGACAGCCUUACAAAUCUUUGUGAAUUUGUGCUGCCAUAGAUUUCUAAAUGUCAUUAAAAUGAUUAAGCCCCUUACUGAAAAGAAAUUCCUUGCCUUCUGACCACUUCUUGCAUUGUAACCCCAUAAGGUUGACAGCAUGAGAGGCCAAUUCUGUUUUGGCUUCCAAUUUUCUUACAAUGUGUGUGUGUGUGUGCGCGCGUGUGCAUGCAUCUGCGUGGGUGUUUAUAUUUUGGUGGUGAGAGAGUUAUUUUCCAAUAGAAAGUCUUUGCCUUAUCACUACUUUGUUGAUUUCCCCCUCGUAACCAGGAAGCUUAGAGCUGAAUUUAGUGUCCAGACAAGCCCGCCCUGGGUAUGUUGCAAUUAUCUUUCGGUGAUUCUUCAUCUUUUCUGAUUCAGAGAUUUCUAUGGGAAUUUGAUGGAAACAAGGGGGAAUGCCCCAGGAAGCAUCCAUAGAUUCCCACAAAACAUGCAUAGAGAGUGGAUGCUCAUCGCUUCUUUUGGAGAUCCUCAACUACCAUGUUUUAUGUUUUAUUUGUAUUACUUUCUGGUGUCCAAAAUGCUGAUGUACCUGAGGACUUCGAGACACAGAGGAGAUGUGGCCAAGUGUUGGAAGGGUUUGUUCGUUUGUUUGAAUGCAAAGGGAAGAGAUAGUCAAUAGUGUCUGAGGAAGAGCAUUUCUCUGGGAACGUGUCACAACUUCAUCCUGCAGUCAAGGGGGAAAGUGCUAGACCAAACUGAAGCCCUGGUUUUAUCACUAGCCAGUUCUGAACUUAAACCUGUCCUCACUUCAGUGAGCCUCCGUCACCUUAACUGUCACCUGAGAACACUGCACAGGGUGGUGGGAGAUUGAGAGACUGGAGAAGUGCUGUCUGCACUGUGAAGUGUGGCGCCGAGAAGAGGAUUCAGUCAGGCUGCUUCCUCAGGCUCCUCUGUGAUCAGCACUCAGAUUAAACCCUGACCUGCAGGGACAUGCAGAGGCCAUCACCUCACCUUGUGCAGCAAUUGCUACUUGCUGAUAAUGCAACAGUCCCGUGCCUCCGGGAAAAAGAGGAAUCUUGAGGAAGGCUCUAAGACUUCUAAGGCUUGAAAUGAGCAUGUAGAAACUGCCCGGCUAAUGAGGCCAUGGGCCAUUCCUCCGGGGUGCCCACGAGAGAUGCUUUUAUCUACCACAGAUCCUCUCUCUCCCGUCCUCCACACGUGCACACUUAGCCCCCGCUUUGAGCUGCAAUGCAAGGACCAGCCCCUCUCAAGGCCUUCCCUGACUGUGUUCUGUUCUUGUCUCUAGGCCACAGGAUUCUCGUCCAUCUGAUUCCAGUAGCAUCUACCACUCGUUCUGCUCAUCUGUUACUAAAGUUAAAUUAAAUAGUUUAUGGAGUACUCACUAUGUGGAAGGCUUUACGCUGAUCAUAAUCCUAUAGUGCCUUGAUUAAUUUUUCCAGAUUGUUCAUCUCUGUACGUAUCAUACCCCCAAUGGGAUCACUUGUGCUGCAUGCAUCCUUCCUGACAUCUAGCACACGGAGUUGAGAGCUAAAGUCCAUGUACGAGCUAACCCACUUCCUGCUAGAACUCUGGUAUAACACGGGAGUGAGUCGAACACAUAAUUAUUAAAGUUAUAUGUGCUCAAUUUAAAAAGUUGGGAAAUAUAUACAAGUAUAAAUUUACCCAUAAUCCUGUCAUCCAGAGAUAACUGCUUUUAAUAUUUUGGUCUAUUUCAUUUUAACCUUCUUUAAUCUAUGUCUCUAUUUACCUAAUUUGGAACAUUCUGUAUUCAAACUUUUAUACUCUACAUUUUCCCAUGCCAUUAAAAUUUUUGAAAACAUAGUUUAAAUGGCUGUGUAAUACUCCAUUAUAUUGAUGAACCAUCAUUUAUUUAUCAAUUUCCUUAUUAGACGUGUAGGCUGCUGUCAAUUUUUUCAUUAUUACAAAAAUUAUUACAAUGAGCAGUUUUUAUACAUAUAUCUACACAUCUAUAAGUCUACAUAUCUGAUUAUUUCCCUGUGAUGUAUUCAUGGAAUUUAAAUUACCAUCCAAGGGGUACGGAACUUUUAAAGUUCUUGGUUUGUAUUACCAAAUUGCUGUCAGAAAGGUUUAUGUUUUCUAGUCCCAUCAGUGGAGAAGAAUGCCUGGUUUAUCAUUCCUACAUUCAUUAUCUUUUUCAAUAUUUAUAAAUUUGAUUAGAGUACAUGAGUUUUAGUCUUUUACAUAUUUCUUUAAUCAUUAAUGAGCUCAAACAUCUUAAUAUAUUUCUUAGCAACUUUAUUUCUUCUCUGAAUUAUCUGUUUAUGUUUUUGACCAUUUUAAACAAUGGAAGCGUUAGUAUUUUUCUGUUGAUGUGCUACUCAUGCAUUAUUGAAGGCUUUAAAGGCCAUUUUAAAAUCACCUGCGUAUUUUUUUAUGCCACAUCAUCCAUAGCCACCUUAGAAGAAAGACCAGUCCCAGAGGCAUAGAGCAGUUCCUUCAAAGAUGACCUCAGUUAUUUUGGGUUGUUGAAUAAUUUCUUCCUUGGGUAAAAAUGCACGAGAAAAUGUGCGUGCAGUUUUUUCGUCAGCACACUUACUUUCUAUUAAGUGGAUAUUUUGUGCUGAAACAGAUUCGCAGAUCCACCAAACCAGACGAUGUUGCUGGCAGAAAAAUGUGCACGCUCUGGUGUUUGUGCAAGAAUGAGAAGACCUCUGUGGCGCAGUGGCAGGAGCCUGCAAAUAACGUCCACUGUGGUGGAUUUGGGAUUGUCCAGAAUGUGACUGUGUAAGGCUGGGAUUGGAAGCCCGUUCUGAAUAUGUGCCUGAGUACCACGUCAGUUCAGCCGUGCUGAGCCUGAGCGAGGCGUCCUCCCUCACAAGCUUCCCAGGACCCCUUGGCUGUGCACACAAAGAGAAGCCGGCUUUUCUUGUUUGCGCCUUUGCUCCUUCCUAUUUGAUUGAAUUUGAAGAGGAACUGUUUGCCUUUGGCUGCACAUCCUGAAUCAUAAUCAGGAUGCUGCUGGCACAGAAAACCUGCUCCCACCCUUGCCUGAAAUAACUGAACAGGGAAGUCGAGAUCCUCCCCUCUCCAAACUUAAAGAAAGAGGCUCAUAAUUUAUGGAGUGCUGGCAAAGCAUCAAAAGUCAAUCCAGUCACUUACAGUAAAAUCAAGGAGGGCGGAACAAUGAAUAUAAAGUGAGAUUCAAACACCUCAUUAAGGGAACAAAGUGUCCAGUUGACACCAGAAUACUGAUGCUUACAUAUUUGUAAGCCAGAGUCCAGUGGCCUUCUGAGAGACUUCCUUGUCCGCGGGAUAUGAAAGGUAUAAAGCCACACCCUCAGCUUUUUCAGUCCUUCAACAAAUAUGCUUUGCUGAAACCAUCUAUCAAGCAUGGUGCUACUAAGGUAUAUUGGUUUCUUAGGGCUGCUGACACAAAUUACUAUAAACUUGGUGGCUUAAAGCAACAUAAAUUUAUUCCCUCAUAGUUCCAGAGGCCAGAAGUCUGAAGUCAAGGUGUUGGGAGGGCCAGACUCCCUCUGAAGCCUCUAGAGAACUUGCCUCAUUUCUUCCAGCUUCUGGUGGCUCCAGAUAUUUCUUGGCUUGUGGCUGCAUCACUCCUGUCUCUGCCUCUGGCUUGGCGUGACCUCCUCCUCCCUGAGUGUCUGUCUUCGGUGUGUCUCUGAGAAGGGUACUUGUCAUUGGAUUUAGGGCCCACUUGGACAAUCCAGGCUGAUCUCAUCUGGAGAUCCAUAAUUUAAUUGCAUUUGUGAAGACCCUUUUUCCAAAUAUGAUCACAUUCCUAAGUACUAGGGGUUAGGACUUGGUCAUAUCUUUUUGGGUGCCACCGUUCAAGAUCCAGAGGGUAGAAAGUUGAAAAGGACAGGGUUGUUGUUCUCAAGGAGUUCAGGCUAGUAGGGGAGACAAAUAGUUAAAUAACUAUAUCGAAAGAAUAACCGCAUCCAAAGCUGCGUUCCAGGUGCUGAGGGAUCUUAGAAGAGAUUGUACUGGGAACUGAUGCCGAGGUUGUGGUGGGGCAGAGGUAGGGUGUGUGUUUUUUUUUUAACCUUUGAACUCUACAAUUUCCUGGCAUCUAGAAAUCACUAUAGAACGUCAUCAGGUUGAAAAGACAAGUCCAGUUUGAAUAGUGAGGAUUAACACCGGCCCGGCCAGAUCUGUUGGGUCUGGCUGAGUUCAGCUAACCCUUUUGGUUGCCUCGAGGUUUUGGAGAGUCGGCAGGAAAAGGCGAGAAAGCCGAAGCCCAUGAAUUGGUUGAGAUUUUUGAUGGCUAUAUUUCUGAGAGGUGAAGAGCUGGAUGCCAUGAAAUGGGUCAUUGGCUUUCUCUGUGGCAGAGAAUGGGGAAGAGGACCGCUUGCAUCUGCCAUCCAUCCCAGGUCGGAGCGUGUGUGCCCCUGCAGGGCCACCUCGGGCCAAGGCUGUUGCCCCACUGAGAUCUCCUCCUCUGCUCCAAGGCCUUGGGCCGGAUGUUCUGUCUGAGCCUGGUGUGGUGGGGGAAGGCAGCUACUGCCCCAAGACAUGCUAGAGAGAAGAGACAGAACUGUUACUCACUUCUUUUUUGGGACAGCAUUUUUACAAGCUUUGCAGAACAUCACCUGCAGCUUUUUACAUUCUCCUGGGACUUUACCUUCUUUAUGAUUGUUUAUUAUAUUAAAAAGGUUCUUGAUAAUGGCUAUUAUGGAAUUAUUGUUAAUGUUCUUGUGCGUAAUAUGCUUGUUGUGAAAAAUGUCUUUAUUCCUUUUUUUUUUUAAAGAUUCACCCUGAGCUAACAUCUGUUGCCAGUCUUCCUCUUCUUCUUUUUCCUUCCCCAAAGCCCCAGUGCAUGGUUGUAUAUCCUAGUUGUAAGUUCUGGUUCUUCUAUGUGAGCUGCCGCCACAACAUGGCAACUGUCAGAAGCGUAGUGCGGUUCUGAGACCAGGAAGGGAACCCGGGCCACUGAAGAGGUGAGAGCACUGAACUUUAACCACCAGGCCAUCAGGGCUGGCUCAGACGUCUUUAUUCUUAAGGAGCGCAUGCGGAAGUGUUUAUGGGUGAUAUGUGAUAAUGUCUACAAUUUUCAAACACUUCAGUGACAAUAUGGGCACAUAAACCUAAUAACACAAAAAUGUUAAGAAUUGCUAGGUCUAGGCAGAAAGUAUAUGGAUGUUCAUUGCUCUAUUCUUUCACCUUUUCUCUAUGCUUGAAAUUAUUCAUAAUAAAAAACUUGGGAUAGAUUUGGAGAAGAAAAUUCUUGAAACAGAGUUUGUUGACCUGUGUUUCAUGGGCUCUGGCGGGAGAGGUGGAUGGGUGUCGGGGACCAGGAAGCUUCUAAAUUUACAUGUAAACUUUUGUGCUGUGUGUGUGUAUGUGUGUGUGUGUAUGUGUGUGUGUGUGUGUGUGUUUCUUCCCUCUUUGUGGGGAGGGAUUUAUUGUUUGUGCUUCUCCUCUCAUUCUCAAAUGAGUCUAUGACUGCCCCCCACAAGGUUAAACAUCCUUGCUUAAAGCUUGAGAUAAAUUUGCAUGCAUUAUACUUUUUGUAAAUGGAUGCAAACAGAGGAGCAGAGUCUGUUGCUUAUGUAUCAUUAGUAUUUUGUUGCAAAAUUUAAAUUAGAUUAUAAAACUAAAUUGGAUUCUACUUUCCCAUUAUCUUCAUUACUGGUUUCUUGAUUUUUCUUAAUUAAUUCUUUUCCUAUCAUAGUUGAAUUCUUAUACUCUUUUACAAGUUUAAAAUAUUGGUUGCUAACAUGAACAAAUCUGUUUUCCUUUGCACUAAUUUAAAACUGAAAUAAUAAUUUUGGUAUCCCUUUCUAGGUUGUAAAAAUAACACAGACUCACUGUAUACAACUUGUAAAAUACAGAAGUGUAUAAAGAAGGAAAUAAAAUUACCAUUAACCCGUG